rnacentral:rRNA from 1 species
UCGAACGAUGACGGCCGUGCUUGCACGGUCUGAUUAGUGGCGAACGGGUGAGUAACACGUGAGUAACCUGCCCUCCACUUCGGGAUAACCUCGGGAAAUCGUGGCUAAUACCGGAUAUGAGCACUCAUCGCAUGGUGGGUGUUGGAAAGAUUUAUCGGUGGGGGAUGGACUCGCGGCCUAUCAGUUUGUUGGUGAGGUGAUGGCUCACCAAGACGAUGACGGGUAGCCGGCCUGAGAGGGCGACCGGCCACACUGGGACUGAGACACGGCCCAGACUCCUACGGGAGGCAGCAGUGGGGAAUAUUGCACAAUGGGCGAAAGCCUGAUGCAGCGACGCCGCGUGAGGGAUGACGGCCUUCGGGUUGUAAACCUCUUUCAGUAGGGAAGAAGCGAGAGUGACGGUACCUGCAGAAGAAGCGCCGGCUAACUACGUGCCAGCAGCCGCGGUAAUACGUAGGGCGCAAGCGUUGUCCGGAAUUAUUGGGCGUAAAGAGCUUGUAGGUGGCUUGUCGCGUCUGCCGUGAAAACCCGAGGCUCAACCUCGGGCGUGCGGUGGGUACGGGCAGGCUAGAGUGUGGUAGGGGAGACCGGAACUCCUGGUGUAGCGGUGAAAUGCGCAGAUAUCAGGAAGAACACCGAUGGCG